UAACACGUAGGGGCCAAGCGUUGUCCGGAUUUAUUGGGCGUAAAGAGCUCGUAGGCGGUUCAGUCAGUCGGGUGUGAAAACUCUGGGCUUAACUCGGAGAGGCCACCCGAUACUGCUGUGACUUGAGUCCGGUAGGGGAGUGGGGAAUUCCUGGUGUAGCGGUGAAAUGCGCAGAUAUCAGGAGGAACACCGGUGGCGAAGGCGCCACUCUGGGCCGGAACUGACGCUGAGGAGCGAAAGCGUGGGGAGCAAACAGGAUUAGAUACCCUGGUAGUCCACGCCGUAAACGUUGGGCACUAGGUGUGGGCCCUUACCAACGGGGUCCGUGCCGUAGCUAACGCAUUAAGUGCCCCGCCUGGGGAGUACGGCCGCAAGGCUA
rnacentral:rRNA from 1 species